CGGUUUAUUACGAAAUUAAAAAUUGCUAUCCAUCAUACCAUGCGCAGUUUUAGUUGUCAAUACUGUAAAAACAGUAAAAAUGGUCCAAUAACGUGUUAGGAGUAGAGAAUUUUGAAGAAGUUGUUGAGAAUUGGCAUAUAAAGUGCUAUCAGACUUUGUUUCAAUAGUCGUUAACUUUUAAAUAUACAUAAACUGUCAAAAUAGGAAAAAAUUGAAGCUGUGCAUUGUUGAUCAUUGUAGUUAAAUUCUUGGCAUCCUAACCUCACAUUUACAGAUAUGCCUCGACAUCAUGAUGAGAAGUCCAGAUGUGAAUCAAGUCAUUCUUCAAAAUAUGAUCAUUCCAAGGACAAAAGUAACCAUGAUAGAAUCAAGUCAGACAGUAAUAAGGACAAACAUUCAAAACACCAUAAAAGGAGCAGACAUGAGUCUGACUCUAAAUCAGAUGACAGUACUGAAAAACAGAGGCUUAGAGAUUUACAGGAAAGAGAUGAACUUGCUGAUCGUCUUAAAAAGAAAGCUAAAGAGAAGAUAUGAAAUGUUGCUCAGCCAUCAGGCCCUGGAUAGUGUGACGUGUUGCGCUAUGGAUGACGCUCCCCCCCCCCAGCCAUGACGUGCCGAGCGGAGCCGAAGUUAGCAGAGUCCCAGCAUACUGGUCGCUCUGCAACGCGAGUCAGCAGCGGUGACGAAACAGGACGCCGCAGUUACUACGUAGCGGUAAACAAUUCCCAACAGUGUUGCUAGGCUAUCGGCUACCAGGGCGGCAGACAACAGUAUGCCGGUUACGUGGCUGUUUUCUAUGCUGUCUGGAACGAGGCUAAAUAAGGAGCAGUGAAGACUAUUCACAGUUAGUUCCGAGUUAGCCACCAGUUAGUUACAGUUCCCAAGUUACGUGUUGAGUUACGAGCUAGCCAGCAGUGAGUAAGUCAACCAGUCAGUUGCGGUCUAGCAUUCGCAGGAGUGAAUGAAAGCAGUUGAAGUAUUUGUGAUACUGCCGUUGGCAGUAAUUUUGAGCUUGUAAAUUGUGUUAUUGUAAGAGCGAAUGUGAAAUAAAAUUCGCUAUAUCCAGUAAGUUGUGUAGUUAUUUGUCAUGUUAUACGCCCAACAUGUGACAAUAUUAUGAGUAUCCAUGGCAAUGAUCAAUAAUGAACAAAACAGCAUGCAGCUGAUAAAAUAAGCAUUCACACUACAACCUUAACAUUCUCCUCUGUACAUGACUCAACUGUGCAAAUUACUUGUCAAGAUUUCAAACAAUUUUAUUCAUCUUAAAUUACACUCUAAAGCUACUUAAUUUAUUUUUUGUAGUAUUACCUUUCCUUCAAUGCAGAUGCAAAGGCUCCAUCACCACAACUCUCGUAUCCGCAGCCUAAUUUGUGAAAAAAGUGCAGAAUGUGAUGCACAGGUUGGCAAUAUGAGAGGAAAUGGAACAGCACAUAUCACAACCCUUACACUCCAUCCUAAAAUACUUCAAUCAUUAGAAAUUUUACUUAUGGUGAAAAUAUAUGUGCACUACACUUCCCUACAAGUGUAAUUUUAUCUCCUUCAAUAUGC